rnacentral:rRNA from 1 species
CCAUGCAGUCGAGCGAGACCUUCGGGUCUAGCGGCGGACGGGUGAGUAACGCGUGGGAACGUGCCCUUCUCUACGGAAUAGCCCCGGGAAACUGGGAGUAAUACCGUAUACGCCCUUUGGGGGAAAGAUUUAUCGGAGAAGGAUCGGCCCGCGUUGGAUUAGGUAGUUGGUGGGGUAAUGGCCCACCAAGCCGACGAUCCAUAGCUGGUUUGAGAGGAUGAUCAGCCACACUGGGA